UGGGGAAUAUUGCACAAUGGGGGAAACCCUGAUGCAGCGACGCCGCGUGAGUGAAGAAGUAUUUCGGUAUGUAAAGCUCUAUCAGCAGGGAAGAAAUAGCGACCUUUGGGUCGCCAGACGGUACCUGAUUAAGAAGCCCCGGCUAACUACGUGCCAGCAGCCGCGGUAAUACGUAGGGGGCAAGCGUUAUCCGGAUUUACUGGGUGUAAAGGGAGCGUAGACGGCAGAGCAAGUCUGAAGUGAAAGCCCGCGGCCCAACUGCGGGACUGCUUUGGAAACUGCCCGGCUAGAGUGCUGGAGAGGUAAGCGGAAUUCCUAGUGUAGCGGUGAAAUGCGUAGAUAUUAGGAGGAACACCAGUGGCGAAGGCGGCUUACUGGACAGUAACUGACGUUGAGGCUCGAAAGCGUGGGGAGCAAACAGG
rnacentral:rRNA from 1 species